UGGGGAAUAUUGCACAAUGGGCGCAAGCCUGAUGCAGCCAUGCCGCGUGUGUGAAGAAGGCCUUCGGGUUGUAAAGCACUUUCAGCGAGGAGGAAGGUGGUGAGCUUAAUACGCUCAUCAAUUGACGUUACUCGCAGAAGAAGCACCGGCUAACUCCGUGCCAGCAGCCGCGGUAAUACGGAGGGUGCAAGCGUUAAUCGGAAUUACUGGGCGUAAAGCGCACGCAGGCGGUUUUGUUAAGUCAGAUGUGAAAUCCCCGGGCUCAACCUGGGAACUGCAUUUGAAACUGGCAAGCUAGAGUCUCGUAGAGGGGGGUAGAAUUCCAGGUGUAGCGGUGAAAUGCGUAGAGAUCUGGAGGAAUACCGGUGGCGAAGGCGGCCCCCUGGACGAAGACUGACGCUCAGGUGCGAAAGCGU
rnacentral:rRNA from 1 species